rnacentral:lncRNA from 1 species
CUUGGCCAUUGCCCUGGUUUUUCUCCCUGGAGCAGCCUUGCCCUGCGUGGGUUCAUAAGCACGCAGCUUUCUCCUCUUCUCUCCUUACACAUAUGUUUCACAUUCAGCAACUCUUCAGGCGGGCUGGUUGUCUGGAGCCUGCAGCUAUAAUGCAAACAAAAGAAGACCAAUUGAGAAGUGACUUUUUCCUUUGAAAGUUCAUGCAAGGUGAAGUUUUUGGCCACAGCUUCUUAAAAUGGUUAUUUUCUAAUUUCUG